rnacentral:tRNA from 1 species
UAAAAACUAGUUAAAUUAUAACAUAAGCUUGUCAAGCUUAAGUUACCUCAGGGGUGUUUUUAA